AACUUACCUAUAACGUUGCUUCGGCGGGAACAGACGGCCCCGUAAAACGGGCCGCCCCCGCCAGAGGACCCCUAACUCUGUUUUUUAUAAUGUUUUUCUGAGUAAACAAGCAAAUAAAUUAAAACUUUCAACAACGGAUCUCUUGGCUCUGGCAUCGAUGAAGAACGCAGCGAAAUGCGAUAAGUAAUGUGAAUUGCAGAAUUCAGUGAAUCAUCGAAUCUUUGAACGCACAUUGCGCCCGCCAGUAUUCUGGCGGGCAUGCCUGUUCGAGCGUCAUUACAACCCUCAGGCCUCCGGGCCUGGCGUUUGGGGAUCGGCGGAGCCCCCCGUGGGCACACGCCGUCCCCCAAAUACAGUGGCGGUCCCGCCGCAGCUUCCAUUGCGUAGUAGCUAACACCUCGCAACUGGAGAGCGGCGCGGCCACGCCGUAAAACACCCAACUUCUGAA
rnacentral:misc_RNA from 1 species